rnacentral:rRNA from 1 species
AAAUUGAAGAGUUUGAUCAUGGCUCAGAUUGAACGCUGGCGGCAGGCCUAACACAUGCAAGUCGAACGGUAACAGGAAACAGUUUGCUGUUU